rnacentral:lncRNA from 1 species
GGUUUUCUCUGUUGUUUGAAGGCCGAUCUUCUCCGGUUGCGAAGAAGGAGGGUAACUCUGUCCUUAUCUUCGGUAUUGUAUGUGAUUAUAUGACUCUUUGUAAGUGAGCAUCUGGUGUUGUAUGUGAAUACCUGAUUUGGUUAUACUCUGUUUGUCGGUUGUUGUGUGUGAAUACCUGAUUUGGUUAUACUCUGUUUGUUGAAAAAUUGUUCCUUUAAG